AAACUCGAAUUAAUACCGCAUACGACCUACGGGAGAAAGGGGGCAACUUGUUGCUCUCGCUAUUAGAUGAGCCUAAGUCGGAUUAGCUAGAUGGUGGGGUAAAGGCCUACCAUGGCGACGAUCUGUAGCUGGUCUGAGAGGAUGAUCAGCCACACCGGGACUGAGACACGGCCCGGACUCCUACGGGAGGCAGCAGUGGGGAAUAUUGGACAAUGGGGGCAACCCUGAUCCAGCCAUGCCGCGUGUGUGAAGAAGGCCUUUUGGUUGUAAAGCACUUUAAGCAGUGAAGAAGACUCCAUGGUUAAUACCCAUGGACGAUGACAUUAGCUGCAGAAUAAGCACCGGCUAACUCUGUGCCAGCAGCCGCGGUAAUACAGAGGGUGCAAGCGUUAAUCGGAAUUACUGGGCGUAAAGCGAGCGUAGGUGGCUUGAUAAGUCAGAUGUGAAAGCCCCGGGCUUAACCUGGGAACGGCAUCUGAUACUGUUAGGCUAGAGUAGGUGAGAGGAAGGUAGAAUUCCAGGUGUAGCGGUGAAAUGCGUAGAGAUCUGGAGGAAUACCGAUGGCGAAGGCAGCCUUCUGGCAUCAUACUGACACUGAGGUUCGAAAGCGUGGGUAGCAAACAGGAUUAGAUACCCUGGUAGUCCACGCCGUAAACGAUGUCUACUAGUCGUUGGGUCCCUUGAGGACUUAGUGACGCAGCUAACGCAAUAAGUAGACCGCCUGGGGAGUACGGCCGCAAGGUUAAAACUCAAAUGAAUUGACGGGGGCCCGCAC
rnacentral:rRNA from 1 species